rnacentral:lncRNA from 1 species
UUUUUUUUGGAACACGUGCAGGUACUGUUAGUGUGUUUCAGUUUCCCGGGAAAAAUUCAGGGAAAAUUAGGGACAGCCUGCAGGCGCACUGUGAAUCGUAUUCGGAUCUCGAAAACAAGUAAGGACCCCUCACCCUAUUUCCUAUCACGGUAUUAAAGUUCAAAAUUAUAAAACGGUAUUUCUUGAAUUAACGCAUGUGUGAAAUUGCUUAAGGUUGCUAAUGGAGCCCGAGUCUAGUGUGAUUGGUGAUUUACUGUUAUUUGGCCUGUUUACAGCUUUAAAUGCAAAAUGAGGUUUGAUGUGUUCAUUUUACAGAUUUGUGUGCAUAUACUACGUUUUUAU